rnacentral:rRNA from 1 species
AUUGAACGCUGGCGGCAGGCCUAACACAUGCAAGUCGAACGAGUGGCGGACGGGUGAGUAAUGUCUGGUAAACUGCCCACUGGGGGGGUAUAACUACUGGAAACGGUAGCUAAUACCGCAUCCCAUCGGAUGUGCCCCUAUGGGAUUAGCUAGUAGGUGGGGUAACGUCUCACCUAGAUGACGAUCCCUAGCUGGUCUGAGAGGAUGACGAGCCACACUGGAACUGAGACAAGGUCCAGACUCCGACGUGAGGCAGCAGUGGGGAAUAUUGAACAAGGAGCGCAAGCCGAAUGCAGCCAUGCCGCGUGUAUGAAGAAGGCCUUCGGGUUGUAAAGUACGUUCAGCGAGGAGGCGGUACUCGCAGAAGAAGCACCGGCUAACUCCGUGCCAGCAGCCGCGGUAAUAC